rnacentral:rRNA from 1 species
UACGUAGGGCGCAAGCGUUGUCCGGAAUUAUUGGGCGUAAAGAGCUCGUAGGCGGCUUGUCACGUCGGGUGUGAAAGCCCGGGGCUUAACCCCGGGUCUGCAUUCGAUACGGGCUAGCUAGAGUGUGGUAGGGGAGAUCGGAAUUCCUGGUGUAGCGGUGAAAUGCGCAGAGAUCAGGAGGAACACCGAUGGCGAAAGCAGGUACCUGGACCAUUACUGACGCUCAGCUGCGAAAGCUAGGGGAGCAAACAGG